rnacentral:rRNA from 1 species
UCUGUCUUUUAGAGGGGGAUAACCUGGCGAAAGCCGGGCUAAGACCGCGUAACAUUUAGAUGUUUAAGGACAUUUAAAUCAAAGCAUUGGGAUCCGCAAGGACCAAUGGCUGAAAGAUGAGCCCACAUCCUAUCACGCUUGUUGGUGGGGUAAAGGCCUACCAAGGCGACGACGGGUAGCCGGCCUGAGAGGGUGUCCGGCCACACUGGAACUGAGACACGGUCCAGACUCCUACGGGAGGCAGCAGUGGGGAAUUUUUCGCAAUGGGCGCAAGCCUGACGAAGCAACGCCGCGUAGAGGAUGAAGGCCCUCGCGGUCGUAAACUCUUGUCUAGCGGGACGAAAGUACCCAUGUCGAAUAGACAUGGGAGUUGACUGUACCGCUGGAGGAAACUCCGGCCAACUCCGUGCCAGCAGCCGCGGUAAUACGGAGGGAGCAAGCGUUA